UACGAAGGGGGCUAGCGUUGUUCGGAAUUACUGGGCGUAAAGCGCACGUAGGCGGAUUGUUUAGUUAGGGGUGAAAUCCCAGGGCUCAACCCUGGAACUGCCUCUAAUACUGGCGAUCUAGAGUCCGAGAGAGGUGAGUGGAAUUCCGAGUGUAGAGGUGAAAUUCGUAGAUAUUCGGAGGAACACCAGUGGCGAAGGCGGCUCACUGGUCCAUUACUGACGCUGAGGUGCGAAAGCGUGGGGAGCAAACAGG
rnacentral:rRNA from 1 species